rnacentral:rRNA from 1 species
UGUCUCCUUUUUCUAAUCAGUGAAACUAAUCUUCCCGUGAAGAAGCGGGAAUACCCCUAUAAGACGAGAAGACCCCAUGGAGCUUCAAACCCAACUACACCCCUAACUUCUAUAACCCCCACCCCACGGGACCCUGUAUAGUUGGUUUUAGGUUGGGGCAACCACGGAGCACAACAAAGCCUCCACAAUGAAUGGGACCACCCCCCUUAUCUAAGAGCCACACCCCUAGGAAUUAAAACACUAAUAUAAAAUGAUCCAUUAUUUGAUCAAUGAACCAAGUUACCCUGGGGAUAACAGCGCAAUCCAUUUCAAGAGCCCCUAUCGACAAAUGGG